GCCAGCAUGGUGUAGUGGUUUGAACAUUGGACUAUGACUCUAGAGACUAGGGUUUGAUUCUCUGCUCAGCCU